rnacentral:misc_RNA from 1 species
CCGCAAUCAAAGCAGGCAAUCGACCUUGCAUGGCAGUCGCCGGAAGAAGUUCGCCGGCACGUCGGGCAGCCUCUGCCGGAGCGUCGGGUGCCGCAUCACGUAGAACCCCGUGAGCAGCGCCACCGCCUGGAACGGUGCCAGGAGGGUGGUGACCGCAAGGAACAGGCACGCCAGCAGGUACAUGGCCGUGGCGCGGGGGUCGCGCCACGUCAUCGCGCACCGCGCACGCUCGGCGUGGGCCGCAACGUCGCCGACCAUCUCCUGUAUCCGCGCCCCGAGGCUCCUCAGCCUGUCGUACCGCAUGCGGAUCACCUCGGGACGACGCGCCGUCGGGAAGUCGUCGAACUCCUCGUCCAGCUCGUCCAGGUGCGCCAUCUCGGCGUGCGACACCUUGGUGUCGACGUGCCACGGGUGCCUCGGCCGGCGCCGGUAGUUCCAGAGGCCGAUGAGGAACUUGUACAUGAAGAAGGUGGGCAUGAUGAGGUUGGGGCAGCACACCAGCAUGGCGUAGAUGAUGUGGACCGCGACGGUGGUGGACGGGUUCUUCCAGUGACAGACGUCGACGAACCACCUGAGCCCCGUGAACAGGGGCGCCAGCGCCGCCAUGAGGCGGAAGAAGUGGGCCUUGCUGCGGCGCAUGCUCCACCGGUGCGAGUGCGCCUCGCAGAGGUGCUCGAUGCACUCCCGCCGCAGCGGCGGGUCCAUCCGGCCCAGCCGGUGCGCGAUGAGCGACACCGCCUCCCGCCGCAGCGUCUCCUGGUGCACGAUGGACAGCGG